rnacentral:rRNA from 1 species
UACAGAGGUCUCAAGCGUUGUUCGGAUUCAUUGGGCGUAAAGGGUGCGUAGGCGGCGCGGUAAGUCGGAUGUGAAAUCUCGGGAGCUUAACUCCGAAACUGCAUUCGAUACUGCCGUGCUUGAGGACUGGAGAGGAGACUGGAAUUUACGGUGUAGCGGUGAAAUGCGUAGAUAUCGUAAGGAAGACCAGUGGCGAAGGCGGGUCUCUGGACAGUUCCUGACGCUGAGGCACGAAGGCCAGGGGGAGCAAACGGG